AUUGAACGCUGGCGGCAGGCUUAACACAUGCAAGUCGAGCGGGGGAGGUUGCUUCGGUAACUGACCUAGCGGCGGACGGGUGAGUAAUGCUUAGGAAUCUGCCUAUUAGUGGGGGACAACAUUCCGAAAGGGAUGCUAAUACCGCAUACGCCCUACGGGGGAAAGCAGGGGAUCUGCGGAGCUUGCGCUAAUAGAUGGGCCUAUGUCGGAUUAGCUAGUUGGUGGGGUAAAGGCCUACCAAGGCGACGAUCUGUAGCGGGUCUGAGAGGAUGAUCCGCCACACUGGGACUGAGACACGGCCCAGGCUCCUACGGGAGGCAGCAGUGGGGAAUAUUGGACAAUGGGCGGAAGGCUGAUCCAGCCAUGCCGCGUGUGUGAAGAAGGCCUUUUGGUUGUAAAGCACUUUAAGCGAGGAGGAGGCUCUUAAGGUUAAUACCCUUGAUGAGUGGACGUUACUCGCAGAAUAAGCACCGGCUAACUCUGUGCCAGCAGCCGCCGUAACAC
rnacentral:rRNA from 1 species